AUGUACCACACGUGUCCUGCCGUUCUUGUGCCCUGUCCACAGCGACCUAACGACCGCUUGCUACGUGUUGUUAGCC
rnacentral:sRNA from 16 species